UCUGAUCAGUGAUGACAGCUUUUUCAUAGUGACUGCUGGAUGAAACUUACGGAUAUGGGGCUGAGAUCAGUA